UACGAAGGGGGCUAGCGUUGCUCGGAAUCACUGGGCGUAAAGCGCACGUAGGUGGAUCGCUAAGUCAGGGGUGAAAUCCUGGAGCUCAACUCCAGAACUGCCUUUGAUACUGGCAAUCUCGAGUCCGGGAGAGGUGAGUGGAACUGCGAGUGUAGAGGUGAAAUUCGUAGAUAUUCGCAAGAACACCAGUGGCGAAGGCGGCUCACUGGCCCGAUACUGACGCUGAGGCACGAAAGCGUGGGGAGCAAACAGGG
rnacentral:rRNA from 1 species